rnacentral:sRNA from 1 species
GUUCCCAAAAAUGCCAAGGAAAAGGAAGUACCACUGGAGGAAGAAAUGCUAAUACAAUCAGAGAAAAAAACACAAUUAUCGAAGACUGAAUCUGUCAAAGAGUCAGAGUCUCUAAUGGAAUUUGCCCAGCCAGAGAUACAACCACAAGAGUUUCUUAACAGACGCUAUAUGACAGAAGUAGAUUAUUCAAACAAACAAGGCGAAGAGCAACCUUGGGAAGCGGAUUAUGCUAGAAAACCAAAUCUCCCAAAACGUUGGGAUAUGCUUACUGAACCAGAUGGUCAAGAGAAGAAACAGGAGUCCUUUAAGUCCUGGGAGGCUUCUGGUAAGCACCAGGAGAUAUCCAAGCCUGCAGUUUCCUUAGAACAGAGGAAACAAGACACCUCAAAACUCAGGUCUACUCUGCCGGAAGAGCAGAAGAAGCAGGAGAUCUCCAAAUCCAAGCCAUCUCCUAGCCAGUGGAAGCAAGAUACACCUAAAUCCAAAGCAGGGUAUGUUCAAGAGGAACAAAAGAAACAGGAGACACCAAAGCUGUGGCCAGUUCAGCUGCAGAAAGAACAAGAUCCAAAGAAGCAAACUCCAAAGUCUUGGACACCUUCCCUGCAGAGCGAACAGAACACCACCAAGUCAUGGACCACUCCCAUGUGUGAAGAACAGGAUUCAAAACAGCCAGAGACUCCAAAAUCCUGGGAAAACAAUGUUGAGAGUCAAAAACACUCUUUAACAUCACAGUCACAGAUUUCUCCAAAGUCCUGGGGAGUAGCUACAGCAAGCCUCAUACCAAAUGACCAGCUCCUGCCCAGGAAGUUGAACACAGAACCCAAAGAUGUGAGUUGAUCUGUAUCAUUCUGCUUCUGUCAGUGUAGGCAUAAAUAAGGUGUCGUGGUAAUGACUUUUUAGUUCUCUUUUUUUUUUUUUUUUGAGAUGGAGAAACACUCUUACCCAGGCUGGAGUGCAGUGGCACGAUCUCUGCUCACUGUAACCUCCGCCUCCUGGAUUCAAGCGAUUCUCCUGCCUCAGCCUCCUGAGUAGCUGGGACUACAGGCGCAUGCCACCACGCCUGGCUAAUUUUUUUGUAUUUUUAGUAGAGACGGG